AGUGAACGCUGGCGGUAGGCCUAACACAUGCAAGUCGAACGGCAGCACAGUAAGAGCUUGCUCUUACGGGUGGCGAGUGGCGGACGGGUGAGGAAUACAUCGGAAUCUACUUUUUCGUGGGGGAUAGCGUAGGGAAACUUACGCUAAUACCGCAUACGACCUACGGGUGAAAGUAGGGGAUCUUCGGACCUUGCGCGAUUGAAUGAGCCGAUGUCGGAUUAGCUAGUUGGCGGGGUAAAGGCCCACCAAGGCGACGAUCCGUAGCUGGUCUGAGAGGAUGAUCAGCCACACUGGAACUGAGACACGGUCCAGACUCCUACGGGAGGCAGCAGUGGGGAAUAUUGGACAAUGGGCGCAAGCCUGAUCCAGCCAUACCGCGUGGGUGAAGAAGGCCUUCGGGUUGUAAAGCCCUUUUGUUGGGAAAGAAAAGCAGCAGGUUAAUACCCCGCUGUUCUGACGGUACCCAAAGAAUAAGCACCGGCUAACUUCGUG
rnacentral:rRNA from 1 species